UGUACGGAAAUGGAUGAUCUAAACAAUAAAAUGUAAGUAAAGUUUAUUUCAGUGAUCAUAAACAGCUGUAUUAGUGAAAAAUAUGUCAUAGUGUUUAAAAACUAGGGUCUGUCCCUUUAAUUGAGCACACAACAAUGGUUAUAUCAUAAUGAUUGAAGUAUAAGUAUAGCAAACUUUUUUUCUUCUUAUUUUGCAUGAGCUACAACAACUUGCUCUGAAUGUGCACGUUAAACAAUCCUUCCUUCCUUUCUUUUCUCAACAGUUGCUAAUUAAGGCUUUUUGUACUACUGUGUCCGUUUGAAACGAGCCGACACCCACUGGUUGGGGUGUCGUUAAAAUGGUUAUCCCUAUUCUAAUUAAACUGUUUGCUGGUUGAUUUUAAAUAGGAAAUUGUCACAUUUGUAGUAAGAAUAAGCCUAUAAACGUCACCAGCUGGUGACGUCAUUAGGCAGCGCAUUAACAGAUGAUGGGUGGUCGGACAGUUAGCGGCUCGAACAUAGAUGUGUAAUUUGACAUAUUUAAUCUGCUCUCAUGAUUAGAUAAUGACUAAUAAAGAAUAAUAUGUUCAU